UAGCUUUAAGGUUUUAUUUAAAGUUUUACCUGCCCGGUGAUAUUUUAAACGGCCGCAGUACUUUGACUGUGCUAAGGUAGCAUAAUAAAUUGGCUUUUAAUUAAAGUCGGGUAUGAAAGGGACUUCGGAAAGCAACUGUCUCAAAUAUAUAUUAUUUUAAAUUAUUUAAUGAGUGAAAAUCCUCAUAAACUUUUACAUUAGACGAGAAGACCCUUAGAGUUAUAAUUAAAAUGAAUUUUUUUCGUAUCUCAUUUUUGUUGGGGCAACAAAGACUGGAUAUAACCGUCAUAGAGUUAUUUAACAUAUCCAAUAUAUUUAAAAAGAAAUAAACUACCUUAGGGAUAACAGCAUAAUUAAUUUUUAGAUUGUGACCUCGAUGUUGGAUUAAGGACUUUUUUUACUAGCCGUAAAUAAAGAUGGUUCUGUUCGAACUAUAAUACCUU
rnacentral:rRNA from 1 species